UACGUAGGUGGCAAGCGUUGUCCGGAUUUAUUGGGUUUAAAGGGUGCGUAGGCGGUCUUUUAAGUCAGUGCUGAAAUACUCCAGCUUAACUGGAGGGGUGGCAUUGAUACUGGAAGACUUGAGUGCAGUCGAGGUAGGCGGAAUUGACGGUGUAGCGGUGAAAUGCGUAGAUAUCGGAAGGAACAUCAGUGGCGAAAGCGACUUCCUGGACCAAUACUGACGCUCAUGUGCGAAAGCGUGGGGAGCAAACAGG
rnacentral:rRNA from 1 species